rnacentral:rRNA from 1 species
UACGUAGGGUGCGAGCGUUAAUCGGAAUUACUGGGCGUAAAGCGUGCGCAGGCGGUUGUGCAAGACAGGUGUGAAAUCCCCGGGCUUAACCUGGGAACUGCACUUGUGACUGCACAGCUGGAGUGCGGCAGAGGGGGAUGGAAUUCCGCGUGUAGCAGUGAAAUGCGUAGAGAUGUGGAGGAACACCGAUGGCGAAGGCAGCCCCCUGGGCUAACACUGACGCUCAUGCACGAAAGCGUGGGGAGCAAACAGG